rnacentral:rRNA from 1 species
CCUACGGGUGGCAGCAGUGGGGAAUUUUGGACAAUGGGGGCAACCCUGAUCCAGCCAUGCCGCGUGCGGGAAGAAGGCCUUCGGGUUGUAAACCGCUUUUGUCAGGGAAGAAAUCUUCCGAGCUAAUACCUUGGGAGGAUGACGGUACCUGAAGAAUAAGCACCGGCUAACUACGUGCCAGCAGCCGCGGUCAUACGUAGGGUGCAAGCGUUAAUCGGAAUUACCGCACGUGAUGCGUCAAGACAGGUUUGAAAUCCCCGGGCUUAACCUGGGAACUGCACUUGUGACUGUACGGCUGGAGUACGGCAGAGGGGGAUGGAAUUCCGCGUGUAGCAGUGAAAUGCGUAGAUAUGCGGAGGAACACCGAUGGCGAAGGCAGUCCCCUGGGCCUGUACUGACGCUCAUGCACGAAAGCGUGGGGAGCAAACAGGAUUAGAUACCCUGGUAGUC